GGCGGCAUGCCUAACACAUGCAAGUUGAGCGAUAACCAAGGGGCUUGCUCUUUGGGGACAGCAGCGCACGGGUGAGUAACGCGCGGAUAACGUGCCCUAGGGUUGGGAAUAACCCACCGAAAGGUGAGCUAAUACCGAAUGUGUUCCGCUGGAGUGAGCUUCGGCGGAAGAAAGCAGGGUUAAACCUGCGCCCAAGGAUCGGUCCGCGUUCCAUCAGCUAGUUGGUGGGGUAAUGGCCUACCAAGGCUACGACGGAUAGCUGGUCUGAGAGGAUGAUCAGCCACACUGGGACUGAGACACGGCCCAGACUCCUACGGGAGGCAGCAGUGGGGAAUAUUGGUCAAUGGGCGAAAGCCUGAACCAGCAAUGCCGCGUGAGUGAUGAAGGCCUUAGGGUUGUAAAGCUCUGUCAGUGGGAACGAAUAAGCCGAUUAAUACUCGGUGGUGACGGUACCCACAAAGGAAGCACCGGCUAACUCUGUGCCAGCAGCCGCGGUAAUACAGAAGGUGCAAGCGUUGUUCGGAAUUACUGGGCGUAAAGCGCGUGUA
rnacentral:rRNA from 1 species